rnacentral:tRNA from 1 species
GGCUCGUUGGUCUAGGGGUAUGAUUCCUGCUUUGGGAGCAGGAGGUCCCGGGUUCAAAUCCCGGACGAGCCC